GUUUGGGUUAACUGAGUCUUCUUGUCGUUUUUGCAACCCUACCCCACCCUCUUCUUUCUCACCCCUUAUUUAUCAUCUCUAUCUCCCUCUUCCCUUCUCACCAUUUUCAUUUUUAUUCAAUACGUGAACCACACUCUCAUGAAGAGAAGAAGAAGCUAUAUCUUUUGAGGGGAAUGUUGUUUGGCUCGAGGUCAAUAGAAACCAAAGAUCUAUAUCUCUUUUUCUCUAACUGUUAAUAAAGAUGUACAUAUAUAUGUAUGUAUAUGAUGUUAUAGUCAACUCAAUUGGUCUACAGAUUAAUAACCAUAAUCUUUUUGGAUUAAUGAGGUUAUUCAUUUAGAGUGUUGAAUGAGAGAAACUUGAUCAUUGGAUGAUCUGCUGUACUCGGACCAGGCUUCAUUCCCCCCAAUUGUUGCUUCAUUUCUUCACAAACUUUUAAUCUUUCUUGCAUAAAGAUCCGAUCUUUGAGGCUGGUGGAUAUAGGGUCCGUCCCCCAUGCGUCGAAGACCGGUGCCGGAUGGAACACCAUGGUAUCCCGCCCCCCGUCCCCAUCUUCAGCGUCGGCAUCUGGACGUUGGGUACGCUCACAAGAAGACAAAAUGUUCUCCUCUCCCUCCACAUACACCUAUACAUGUAAUAUACAUAUACACAUUUUAGGUCCAUCCUCCCAUUUCCAUACCUCUAUCCUCUUUGUCCCAUGCUCAUGCCCAUCUUACAUGGCGUUUAUGUGACGGGCCAUCCUCCAAGAGAGGACCAUCACCAUACCCUGUACCCUAAGCAAUGAAGAAUGUGCAUGUGUGAAUUAAUAGAAACCUCAAAGCAGCAUUAAAUGGCGAUGAAUAGGUGGUAGCUGUCUUGAAGAGAUGUAAAAUGAGUUGUCAUUUACUAGACCACUAGUAGCCCUAGUUGAUAAUGUGAAAAUGAUGCAAACUUUUUCUCUUUUUUCGUUAAAUUA